rnacentral:rRNA from 1 species
AUUGAACGCUGGCGGCAGGCUUAACACAUGCAAGUCGAACGAGUGGCGGACGGGUGAGUAAUGCUUGGGAAUCUAGCUUCUGGAGGGGGAUAACUACGGGAAACUGUAGCUAAUACCGCGUACCAUAGGAUGAGCCCAAGAGGGAUUAGGUAGUUGGUGAGGUAAAGGCUCACCAAGCCGACGAUCUCUAGCUGUUCUGAGAGGAUGACCAGCCAAAAUGGGACUGAGACACGGCCCAGACGGCUACGGGAGGCAGCAGGGGGGAAGAUGGCGGAAUGGGGGCAACCUGACGCAGCCAUGCCGCGUGAAUGAAGAAGGCCAACGGGUUGGAAAGUUCUUUCGGGAGCGAGGCGUUAACUGCAGAAGAAGAACCGGCUAACGCCGUGCCAGCAGCCGCGGUAAUAG